rnacentral:rRNA from 1 species
GCGCAGCAGUCGCGAAACUUCACAAUGUGCGAAAGCACGAUGAGGGAAUCCCAAGUGCUUGCACGUAAGUGUAAGCUGUUUCUCUGUCUAAAACGCAGAGAGAGUAAGGGCUGGGUAAGACGGGUGCCAGCCGCCGCGGUAAUACCUGCAGCUCGAGUGGUGACCGUUAUUAUCGGGCCUAAAACGUCCGUAGCCGGUUUAAUAAAUGCCUGGGUAAAAUCGGACCGCUUAAACGGUUCGAAUUCC